rnacentral:rRNA from 1 species
UCCCCCUGUUUUUACAAAAACAUUUCUUAUAGAAUAUUAUUAUAAGUAAAACCUGCUCAAUUUAAAUAGCCGCAAUUUAUCCUGUGCUAAGGUAGCAUAAUCAUUUGUUUUUUAAUUUAAAACUAGAAUGAAAGGUUUAACAUUUAAAUCUCUAUAUUUAUUAUAUAUUAUAAAAUUAUACUAAAUAUAAAAAUAUAUUUAUAAAAAAAUUAGACGACAAGACCCUAUCGAACUUUACUUUUGUUAAGCUGGGGCAGCUUUUAAAUUAUUAUUUUUAAUAAAAUUAAAUAAAUUUUCCGAUACUAUUGAAUAUUAAUCAAGUUACCAUAGGGAUAACAGCGUAAUUUUUAUAUAAAGUUCUUAUUUAAAUAAAAGUUUGCGACCUCGAUGUUGAAUUAAAUUUCUUUUUUUCGCAACAGAAAAACAAGAAGGUCUGUUCGACCUUUAAAAAUUUACAUGAUUUGAGUUCAAACCGGUGUAAGCCAGGUUGGUUUCUAUCUUUUUCACUUAUUCUCCAGUACGAAAGGACAAAGAAUAAUAUUAUAAAUACAAUUAAUUUGGCAGAAAAUUGCAUUAGAAUUAGAAUCUAAUUAC